rnacentral:tRNA from 1 species
GGCUCGUUGGUCAAGCGGUUAAGACACCGCCCUUUCACGGCGGUAACACCAGUUCAAAUCUGGUACGAGUCACCA